rnacentral:rRNA from 1 species
GGUGAACGCUGGCGGUGCGCCUAAUACAUGCAAGUCGAACGAGACCUUUUCUGGAUUUAUUCAAAAAAGUGACAGUGGCGGACGAGCGAGUAACACGUAAGCAUCUGCCCCAUACUCAGGGAUAACUGGUCGAAAGAUCAGCUAAUACCGGAUAGCCUCGAAAGAGUAAAGAUUUUUCGGUAUGGGAGGAGCUUGCGGCUUAUCAGUUAGUUGGUGGGGUAAAAGCCUACCAAGACUAUGACGAGUAGCUGGUGUGAGAGCAUGACCAGCCGCGAUGGGACUGAGACACGGCCCAUACUCCUACGGGAGGCAGCAGUAAGGAAUCUUCCGCAAUGGGCGAAAGCCUGACGGAGCGACACCGCGUGGUGGAUGACGGCCUAUGGGUUGUAAACACCUUUUCUCAGGGAAGAAGAUCUGACGGUACCUGAGGAAUAAGCCCCGGCUAAUUACG